rnacentral:rRNA from 1 species
UACAGGGGGGGCGAGUAUUAUUCUACAUGACUGGGCGUAAAGGAUAUGUAGGCGGUUUUUUUUAAUAUUAAAAGAAAUUCUAUAGAAAACUAUAGAAAGUUUUAAUAUAUUUUAAAACUUUGAGUUUAUAAAAGAUAAUAGAACCCGUUUAAAGUAAAUGUGAAAUGUUACGAGAUUAGGGGGAAUUCCAAAAGGCGAAAGCAUUUAUCUUGUUAAAACUGACGCUGAAAUAUGAAGGUGUGGGUAGCGAAUAGG